AACGCACAUUGCGCCCUCUGGUAUUCCAGGGGGCAUGCCUGUCUGAGCGUCAGUAAAAUCUCAUUUCCUAUUUAUAGGAGAAGGUCAUGGACCCCAAUGAAUUGAUCUUUUCCUAUUAGGAAAAAACAAUUCUGGUCUGAAAAGAAUAGCCCGUUGAUAUUUCAACCGCGGUGUGAUAGGUUUAUCCACCUCACCAAGGUCUUGAAAAGAAUUGCGGCAAAUCUUAUUUAUCUUUUUUGACCUCAGAUCAGGUAGGAAUACCCGCUGAACUUAA
rnacentral:misc_RNA from 1 species